CACAUGUACAGAGCCCACAAGCUGCCAUGAGCUAUUUCUACAUGUAACUAGGUGACUACGCCUUGCAGCUUCCCCUACGUUAUAGGCUUUUUAACUUCAUUAUGUGAUCAGGCAUGUUGCCAACUUUGAAGGCCAUUCCACACAUCUGAGUGAUCUGGCUUGCCGUCCAGGUGAUUUAAGUGCCAAUCUUGAUAAAGGUCCGCAUAAGGACCGAAACGUCGAUGAAAUACGGCAUCAACAGUGAACCCGAAUAAAAAUAUACUGAAUUUACAA